rnacentral:lncRNA from 1 species
AGGUGGAUGAUCGAACAUCAUGGAGGCCACGAAAGUCCUCUAAUGCGAGUGUGAAUUCCGGAUCUAGUGACGAUAUUUCCAGUGACUGUAUGAGCCCUAGAGAUUUCACGGCUCCUGCCAAAUCUGCAUUUGAUUCUGCUGAAAACACUGCAUUCAGUUCAGUUAGCGGUAACAAUACGCCUGAUCCUGGGGGGGAUGCAACCAGUGAAGGUACUGCCACACAAGUCAAUGGAGAUAUGAUAUCUACUGAUUACAACUGAAGUUGACACUCACAAUGGAAGUAGGAAGCACAAGGAUGGUAAACCGUCGACAACCCGUUUGUAUAUUCUGUUGUUGUGAAAGUGCCAUUCCAUUUUUAUAUCAGAAAUCGCCCUCCUCGAGGACACCCCUGUACCCAUAUAAUCAGCCCAAAUUCGGUUAUACGUUCAUGUGUGAUUGUUUAAAGUGCUUAUGACACUUAAUUUUACCCAACCUUUUCUUGAUUUCAUCGCAAAGAUAAUUUAAAAUGACUAUAUAUUAUAUAAUCUCUUUAGUAGAAUAGUUGCAGCUCUUUUCUUUCGCAAGAUCUUCAACUUUGUUUGACGUGCAAAUAUCAUUUGUAUCACUGCGUAAUGAGAUUUUGGAAGAGCAUCAUUAAUUUUGAAAUUGAUUAAAAUAUUCCACACACAGAGAUACGGGGGACUAAUGGGCAUAUGACUCGAAAAUUGACGGUGUUAUUGUUUAGUAUAAUUUGAAAGAUCGUUGAAAACUGUAGAGUAACUUCUUUGACAGAUUUUUGUUUUCUUGCUUCGUUUUGAAGAUAUUUCAUUUUAUAUGCAAAGCCCAACUUCCUACGUCACAUAUGCAUAAUGAUUUAGCCCUAAAAAAACUGUAUAUCUUUAAUACGACUAAACACAAUCAGUAGAGAACCUACAUGGGUGUUGUUGUGGACAAAUUUCGUGCUCAUCAUUCAUUUUGAGCGAAUUUAUUUGAUAGUGAUAAAAUUAUAUAACAUUUUAAAGUAAGUCAUUAUGCAUUUGUGACGUAAAAAGUUGAUCCUUUGCAUAUCAUACAAAAUGAAAUAUCUCCAAAACGAAGCAAGAAAACAAAAAUCUGUCAAAGAACUUACUCUACAGUUUUCAAUGAUCUUUCAAUUUAGACUAACAAAAUAACACCGUCAAUUUUCUAGUCAUAUGCCCCUCCUCAACUGGUUUAUCCUCGUAUAGGCACAAUUUUAAAUAUUCCUUACCCCACAAGAUAAACACUCUGUUAUAGAAACUCAUUAUGCAGUGUGCUGUCACACUGAUGAUAUUUGCAUAUCAAAGUUGAAUAUCUCUGAGAGGAACAAAGCUACAAGUAUUCUACGAAAGCAGUUAUAUUGUCAUUUUAAAUGAUCUUUGCGAUUUGCAAUCAAGAAAAGAUAAGCUUAGAAUUUCUACAGUGAUAUCCAACCUCAUAACAAUUUCUCCAGAAAUUAUAUACCAAUAAAUAACAAGUAUAUGUUGAACACGUUGCAAUUUCACGAGGCGAAGCUAAAAGUUACAAAAAAUAGUUUGCGAGUGUAGCUUCUGGAAAUUCCACAGGUACCGUCAGGAAGAUUGGGGUUUAAAUGAAACAGGAAAUUACCCAAAAAUAAAAAUUCGCAGAAACCAAACGGUUAUAAUCCGUUUUGCAAGCGAGAGCAUAAGCGAAGAUGAGGAAAUAGAGUCAUUUACAAGAUAUUUUUAAUCGAUUCAUUUUAGCGUGAUAAAAGAUUCUAUUCUGUGCCAACAGAGAAGUAGUAUUUAUAUUAUAUAAUUCGGUAAUCAUUUAUAUUAAAUGUACUGUUAUAUUGAAGCAUAAAUAUGUGCUUGUGUGUGUUAACAAAAAAGCGAUAUGACUUUAUUACUAGUAUAAGCUAAUACUGUAGCAUUUGAAUGCUUUUUAGACUUAAUAUGCGUUAAAUUAAUAAAUUGUUAUGUUAAAUAUUUAAUAAUACACGUAAAAUAUAAACAAAAACAGUCCAAACACUACACAUGCAUAUAUGGUAUCAAAUUUUAUUAAAUAAAUAGCUAUGUUUCCCGAAGGUGGGCAAACCAGGA